GAGGGUAUAGCUCAAGUGGUAGAAUGAAUGCUUAGCAUGUAUGAGGUCCUGGGUUCAAUUCCCAGUACCUCCC
rnacentral:tRNA from 1 species